rnacentral:lncRNA from 1 species
CUCCCAAGAGCGGCCGGAAGCGUAUCCGAGGCUCCUUCCGGUCCCCGCUCGCUCGGCUCCGUGGUCCUCAACCCGGAGUCGCUCUAGGUGAGAGCCUGACGGCCUCCGCGUGAUGGCCUCCGCCCUCCGCAGCGGGGACCGGAAAAGAAGCCCGGGCUUUUCCACAAAUGUUCUCGUGAAGGCGGAAUCUGGAAAAGGCGGUCGCCCGCCCUACUACCGGGAGGACGGGGAAGAGCGAGCUGAGGGGCGGUUUGGCUGGGAUGCCCAGAGCUCGGCCGCGUUCAUCCCUGCAGGUUUCGGGCCGAGGGUAGUCUGAAGGACCCGAUCUCUUUUCACGUCGUCCUCACCUAACCAAAAAGAAAGGCAGCCUGGAGGAGUGGCUCACACCAGUAACCGUUGGCAUUUGGGAGGCUGUGGCCGGAGGAUUGCGAGCUCUUCUCAGGAGUGGUGUGAGACAGGCAGAAGCAUCUAUGACUGGCAAGCUAACUGCCAAAUACUAUUCCCACCACACAUACGAGGAGAGCAAACAGAGAUAUCAAGAAUGGUAAAGCAACGAAGGCUUAACCACAGAGGAGAGCUGAGUGGCUGUCUGCUAAUCACCGGAAAAAAGGCUCACCAGACCAAAAAGAAAAAAGAAAAGGGCCCCUGAAAAGAAGGGAGAAAGGCUAACCAGAGGAAGAAGGGGGAAGAGAAAAACAAGUGCUGGAACAAUCCUGUCAAACCCAGGACACUUCCACAGUUCAGUCCUAGGAAGAGAGCGACAGACACUGCAGAUGCCAAGUAAAAUGGUGUGUGCUGUUAGUGACCCUGCUGUUAAAAUAUAUAUAUGUGUGCGUGUGUAUGUAUGUAUAUGUAUAUAUAUGUAUGUAUAUAUAUGUAUAUAUAUAUUAUUUAUUUUAUGUAUGUACACUGUUGCUAUCUUUAGACACAUCAGAAGAGGCCACUGGGUCCCCCUUACAGACAAUCGUGAGCCAUGUGGUUGCUGGGAAUCGAGCUCAGAUGUCUGGUAGAUCAGUCAGUGCUCUUUACGGCUGAGCCAUGUCUCCAGACCCCUAAAAUAACUGUUUUUUAAAAUCAUUUUUUUCUUAAAUUGUAAAAUUUUAUUUCUUUUUGAAGUUACAUUAUUCAUACAUAAGGACACUUGAUUUGGGAGUGGGGUGGGGGAUCACUGAGUGUAUUUCAGAAGAUGAAUUGAAAUGAUGGAAAUGGGGUCUUUCUGUCUGGAUUUUUUAAUGAUCGCUGGUUCCCAAGAAAGGUUCUCAGAUAUUCAUUCACACUUUAGGAACUUUGGCAGAGAAUCAUUACAGAACAGGAGCAGAACUUCACAGGCAUGACUGCCUCAAGUAACAAUAAUUGGGUUUUCUAUGAAAGCUUCCUGCUUUCCUUGCACCAGUCAUUCUGUGGAGAAUCGUGUCAGUUCAUUUUUUUGUCUGGGUUGCUCUUGAAAAGCUCUUAUAUGGUUUGUGAGACACAUUCACUUCUGUGACUUCCUUUUCACAGCAGCAACAAAACCCAUUGUUGACUUCUACAGUGAAGUUUUGGAGAAAGUUGCUUGGAAACUGUGUUACAAAGUGUUGCCCACUGCCCCCACAUCCUACCGUGAAUAUCUGUAUUGUUGAAGAUGGGGGGAAUAUUUUAUAUUCAGAAUUUAAAGAUAAUCUUUACUGCCCUGUAAGUUUAGAGUUUCGCUUUUCCCACUUACAUUUAGUCUGCCCUGAACUGAGUUUUAUGAAAAGAAGGAGAUAGACAUCAAUUAAAGCUGCUCGCUUUAAGAGUAAAAUAGUCAUAGCACCAUUUACUCGAGUCCAUCUUUCUCCCCAGCCUGUAUUCUGGCUCUUUCCUAGUCUAGGUUCUGUGUGAGUGUGGGGCUCUGUUCCCAUCUUCUUAGUGGUCCAUUUGCCUAACCUUGUGGCACUGUUAUCUAAUGACCUCAGCAAUAGAAAUGGUUGUAACAAUACAAAAACAAGAUGUCUCUGCCUUGUGUCAUAGUGUUAGCCAAUCUCACUACGAGCUUUUUCUUCUUCAUAAAUGUUUUGGCAAUUCCAGUCAUUUGUUCUUCCAUGACAUUUCUAGAAUAAUACAUGUUGAAAUUUUUAUUGGACUUGUAUUGAGUUUAUAGAUUAAUUUGGUAGGUUAUAUAAUUUUUAUAAUGCGGAGUCUUUCAGUCCAUAAACAUGAAGUACUUCUAUAAUUUUUUUCUAUGAAUAUAUUUGAAUAAUAUUUCCAGAGACUUUUUAUUAUUUAACGUUGUUAUACUUGGUGUAUUUAUAGUUACUGUGUCCUAGUGGGUGGGGCUGCUGGUUGCUUCUGUCUUGAAGCAGAAAGGGUGUUUGGAGGUCAUUAAGAGCCAAUGAGGAAGCCCUUGGAGGAUGGGGUGUUCUGAAAGGAGGGAUGUAAUUUACUGGGGUCACAAUAAUUGUCAGCAGAAGAAAAGGUGUGGCUGCCAAGCAUAAAGUGUUUUCCCUUCUCCAGGGCCAAUACCUCAGGACCAGGCAAAAACACUGGAUACUCAGCAGGAUUCACUUCAGACACCCCCUAGUCAAAGUAGAAAUAAAACAGGCUGCUACUUAUGAAUUUACAGACAGGAUGAGUUUCUGAGAUAAUCAAAAUUCUGAACAGACAAAUUUAAAAUUCCCACUUUGGGAAUUUUUUUAAAAGUUUUUAAUUGACACAUUACUGUACAUAUUUGUACAGUACAGGGUAAGAUUUUAAUAUGUGCAUGCAAUGCC